GUCCCCAUCGUCUAGAGGCCCAGGACGUCGCCCUCUCACGGCGGCAACAGGGGUUCGAAUCCCCUUGGGGACGCCA
rnacentral:tRNA from 1 species